rnacentral:rRNA from 1 species
CCAAUAGCGUAUAUUAAAGUUGUUGCAGUUAAAAAGCCCGUAGUUGAAUUUCGGGAUUGGCGCAUCGGUCGUGCCUUACGGGGUAUGAACUGGUGCAGUCAAUUUCUCACCUUCUGGAGAACCGCGAUGUCCUUAAUUGGGUGCCGCGGGGAACCAGGACCUUUACUUUGAAAAAAUUAGAGUGUUUAAAGCAGGCAUUUUUGCUUGAAUACAUUAGCAUGGAAUAAUAAAAUAGGACGGCAUGGUUCUAUUUUGUUGGUUUCUAGGACCACCGUAAUGAUUAAUAGGGAUAGUUGGGGGCAUUAGUAUUCAAUUGUCAGAGGUGAGAUUCUUGGAUUUAUUGAAGACUAACUACUGCGAAAGCAUUUGCCAAGGAUGUUUUCAUUAAUCAAGAACGAAAGUUAGGGGAUCGAAGACGAUCAGAUACCGUCGUAGUCUUAACCAUAAACUAUGCCGACUAGGAAUCAGACGAUGUUAAUUUUUUAAUGACUCGUUUGGCACCUUACG